rnacentral:rRNA from 1 species
AGAUAAUAGAUACCCUGGUAGUCCUAGCCUUAAACGAUGAAUACUUGGUGUCUGGGGUUUUAUAGUCCCCGGGUGCCGUCGCUAAACGCUUUAAAGCAUUCCGCCUGGGGAGUACGGUCGCAAGACUGAAACUCAAGGGAAUUGACGGGGACCCGCACAAGCGGUGGAGCAUGUGGUUUAAUUCGACGCAACGCGAAGAACCUUACCUGGGCUAGAAUGCCUCUGACCGCCAUAGAGAUAUGGCUUCCUGGGUAAAGCCAGGCAGAGUGCAAGGUGCUGCAUGGCUGUCGUCAGCUCGUGUCGUGAGAUGUUGGGUUAAGUCCCGCAACGAGCGCAACCCUUAUCAAUAGUUGCCAGCGGUUCGGCCGGGCACUCUAUUGAGACUGCCGUUGACAAAACGGAGGAAGGUGGGGAUGACGUCAAGUCCUCAUGGCCUUUAUGUCCAGGGCUACACACGUGCUACAAUGGCAAGUACAAAGCGCUGCAAACCUGCAA